AAUGAACGCUGGCGGCGUGGUUAAGACAUGCAAGUCGAACGGGACAUUAGGUGUAGCAAUACAUCUGAUGUUCAGUGGCGAACGGGUGCGUAACACGUGAACAAUCUACCUUUAAGUGUGGAAUAGCUCGCCGAAAGGCGAAUUAAUACCGCAUGUGGUGGCCGUCUCUCCUGAGAGACCUACUAAAGUCGGGGACCGCAAGGCCUGACGCUUGAAGAGGAGUUCGCGGCCUAUCAGCUUGUUGGCGAGGUAACGGCUCACCAAGGCUAAGACGGGUAGCUGGUCUGAGAGGAUGGUCAGCCACAUUGGGACUGAGACACGGCCCAAACUCCUACGGGAGGCAGCAGUGGGAAUAUUGGACAAUGGGCGCAAGCCUGAUCCAGCCAUGCCGCGUGAGUGAUGAAGGCCUUAGGGUUGUAAGCUCUUUUGUGUGGGAAGAUAAUGACUGUACCACAAG
rnacentral:rRNA from 1 species